CAUACUAAGUUUGGUAUUGCCAUAGAUGGAGUUAUUAAGAUUUUCACUGUUGCAGUCACUAUUGUGGUUGUUGCAGUGCCUGAAGGGCUUCCCUUAGCCGCUACCUUAACCCUUGCCUACUCAAUGAGGAAAAUGAUGUCAGACAAGGCCUUGGUCAGGAGGCUUUCUACCUGUGAAACCAUGGGCUCUGCUACUAUCAUUUGCAGUGACAAAACUGGGACCUUAACGUUAAAUCAGGUGGUUUUUCAAUAUAGUUGGAGAUUCAAGAUGCCCCAUAUCUGACACUUGGUGGCAAACAGAGACAGGUGGCUUUAUGGCAUGUAGACCAGUGAAGAUUAUAACUUUAAUGCUAAGACAUGAUUUUUGGAUAUAUGUUAG